rnacentral:rRNA from 1 species
GUCCUACCUGCCCAGUGAAUUAGUUUAAACGGCCGCGGUAUCUUAACCGUGCAAAGGUAGCGCAAUCACUUGUCUUUUAAAUGAGGACCCGUAUGAAUGGUAAAACGAGGGCUUAACUGUCUCCCCCCUCAAGUCAGUGAAAUUGAUCUGCCCGUGCAGAAGCGGACAUAAAAAUACAAGACGAGAAGACCCUUUGGAGCUUAAGACACCAAGACCAACUAUGUCAAGGCCUGUAAUGAACAGACUAAACAUAAUAUACAGCUGGUCCUAGUCUUCGGUUGGGGCGACCACGGGGGAAAACAAAGCCCCCACGCGGAAUGGGAAAAUACCCUAAAACUAAGAGGGACGCCUCUAAGUCGCAGAAAAUCUGACCAAUAUAGAUCCGGCUAACAGCCGAUCAACGAACCAAGUUACCCCAGGGAUAACAGCGCAAUCCCCUCCCAGAGUCCCUAUCGACAAGGGGGUUUACGACCUCGAUGUUGGAUCAGGACAUCCUAAUGGUGCAGCCGCUAUUAAGGGUUCGUUUGUUCAACGAUAAAAGUCCUACGUGAUCUGAG